UAAAUAAAAGUUUUACUGACAUGCUGUCCUUUCCUGGAGGAGAAGUUAUUUCACGGAAUCAUGAAGGUAGGGAAAUAUUGUCACCCCCAACACUCUGUAUCUCUGACAAAGCUCAAGUUCAGUUUUGCUGUUGACUUCAGAAAUACAUUAAAUAUGUACUCAUGCAGCAACACUCUCUUAUAGAACACUCCCACUGUGAUAGUCUAUCUGGAAUUCUCCCUUUUUUCUUCACUCAAGUGGUUUCUAGGCGUCGACACCUUCACGUUUGUAUACAUUCCAUUACAUAUUCUUUAAACUGUAAUCUUAUUCUGCUCCAUUUUUUACUUGACUGAUUUCUUUUGAACAAGAUACACCUUUUGAUCACUGUCCUCAUAAUGAACUCUAUACCACCAAGUCUCAGGGAUAUUUACAAGACUGCCAAGUACAAUUAUUUGUUUGAACCAAGUCUCAAGAGUGGCCAGCGAUGACUUGGCUAAGAGUUAAGCUGAAUUCUCAGAGGGACAAGUUCCGUUAUGGUUGGAGAUCCACCCUCAUCCCACACCACAAAACGUUCAUUUACCACGGAUGUACUUACAUCCCAACAAACUGAAAAUGCUGACCAACUGCAGCACAGCCAACUCGAAUUUGCUCUUUCGUCAAAGUGACCAGCACCUCAUUUCUUCGUCUUUAGAAUUUGUAGUGGACCUGGAAUACAGUCAUGAUCCUGAAUUGCUCUCAACCACGUAGCUGAGGAUGGCAUCCCAGGAGAUGGCAGAACAACAGAUUCAGCGGUUCUCAACCUGUGGUCUCCCAACCAACAGCAUCAGUAUCAUCUGGGAACAGGUUAGAAAUGUGUAUUCUCAGCCAAUCUAAUCCAGAUCUAGUAAAUAAGAGACUCUGGGGCCAACAGUCUGUGUUUUAACAAGCCCUCCAGGUGAUUCUGGUGCAUGCUUCAUGCUAAAGCUUGAAAAUCACUGCUUUAACCCUCAUCGCAUCUCUGGAAGCCAGUCAAGGAAGUCUAUAAGAUCGGGCAGACCAUAAUUUCCUCACUCAAAAUGAUGACUCCAAUUUUCAACCAUUGUGCUUCUUUAUAACAUCACUUCUGUGGGUUUGUGUAGUUAUAAAGCAAUGAUGCUAUGCUGCUACCUGUGUUGUCAGAGGUAAAACCGAUCUAUAAUUUAGAUCUGUUAACAUAACUUGUUAAGAGGGGUAUUGUGGAAAUAGAUUUUUCUAUAUACAGAGAGACACAGGGGCAUAUGCAAAUCCUAUUAUGCAGAAGCUAGUGCUUCUGCAAGACUUCUGAGGAAAACAACAACAACAAAAAACCUGCCAGAAGGACAAGGCCAGGAAAAGAAACACCAAAGUAUUAGCUGAGAUUUUGAAUCCAAAUUGCAAUGUGAAUAGUGAUUAUUCUGGAUUGCAAGGUGGAUGCUUUAAUCCAGGCUAGAGACAUACUCAUGUUCUCCAAACAUGUAAGCGUUGCCCCUUUCACCCUUAGUGCACCCAGGAAUCUCAUCCCUCCAUGGGAGAACAAGCUGAUUGAUGAGAGGUACAAGUAAGAAUCACUGGUAUCAAAAUUUAGAGUUCUGCUAAUCUUGGUAGGAUGCUUUCAAGAGGAAUUUUCUUCCAAGUGCAGCUUCAAAGAAAACUUGCCAAGAAGAGAGAGCACACUCAGACAGGCUCAUUGUAGAGAAAGCGCUACACUCAGGCACAGGCAGCCAAUGACUUGUUCUUUCUCUUGACCCCGACCGCUUCUUGGUAGAGGAUUGAGGACUGGGUGAUGGUGAAAACUCCACCUAUGCUUUCUCAAUAUCAAAGUAGCUGUUCUGUUUGGAAAACUCUAUGGAAGAGGCAUCACAUCAAUUAUUGGUGUCUUGCAAAUGAGUGUCCUGAUCAAUAGAAUUUUUUACUUUUCCACUUUUCUUAGGACCCAGAAGAUACUCAUUUAUUUAUUCAACAAAUCUUUGUAUUUGAGCCCUGUAUACCAGAAUAGGAUUUGUGGUUGCAAAGAUCACCAAGAAACAGUUCUUGACACUGAAAAGCUCCUUUGCCCUUCAAAAUACACAGUAUUAGAGGAAAAAAAAUCAACCAAAUAACUUGAUCAAAAUGGGAGGAGAAAGAGAGAAUACCUCAUUUGCCAUGGCUCUAGGAUGGAUGUUCUCAUUUCCGUGGAAAGCAAACACUUUAGGACUUCAAGCUUCCUGCUCUGAAAGAGUGCAUCGAAUAAACUCUGUCAGCUCCUGUGUUUCCAAGAUACCUGAUGCUUUUUGCCUUUGUUCUUUGUUUAUCAGAGCUGACCUUUUCUUAAUGAUAUUUUACUGUAACUGAGGUUCAUGUGGCAUCAAAUAGUACAAUUUAGAAAAAAUAAAUCCCGCGGGACUUUCUUGGUAAUUUUUCAGUGGUUUAUUAGAAUUUUAAAUACUUCAGAAAAUGGACUUUAGAAAACCCACUUGAAAGAGAAAAAAUAUUGACCUUUAUAAUAAAUUGAUACCAUUAUAAAAAUAUACCCUAGAGAACACUGGAAAUGGUCCAUUUAGAGUCGGACACUAGCAAAAUAAGCUCUUUAAUGUAUCUCAUAAAUAUAUUUUAGAGGCCUUUCAAAUGGUGAGAGAGGAGUACAGGACAGUUUUUCAUCCAUAAUCAUUAUUUUUUCUCACCACAGCUACCCAUCCAAUAUAAUUUAGACAUGACAUUUAGAUAGAAGUGGGAAAGUUUCUAUUUCCCAUUUCUAAACACAGGGGUAUGGACAGUAUCAAUUAGAUUCUAUUUAUUGUAAUAAUGUUGAUUCUAGUAGAGGUUACACAGAUGUAAGAAUUGUGCGAUGCUCUGUUUCUGGAAGAGUAGUCAAACGAUGCAUGGAAAAUGAUGGCCAUUGCAAUUGCAGUUUUAACACAAAAAUAAUAUAUUGUCUUUUUGAAUAUAUGAUAAAGUUCAUGGUUUGAGAUUAAACAGUUCACUGUGAGCAUAUAGGUGUGGAAGAAGAACCAGGAUCCCUAACAAUGUUCUCUGCCUCUGCACAAAAUGUCUGGAAGAAUUGUUUCUGUGAUUCCUCUCUGUUUUAAUCCCUCUGAAUUCCUUGGUUUUGGCUUCAUGAGUGUGUACUGGCUGAGGGGAGUCAAGUUCAUACUCUGAGUAUGGAUCGCCCCCAAAAUAGGGAAGAUUCAAAGGAUCAGCACACAAGUAAGAAUGGGGUAUUAAGCAAAGAAAAAAGAGCCAGGGAAAUAAGUGGGUUUAUUAUAAGGCUGACAAGAUCUCGAGUCAAAUGUAGGUGAAAAGAUAAGAUUUUAGUCUGUUCUCAUGCUGCUAAUAAAAACAUACAUGAGACUGGGUAAUUUAUAAAGAAAAGAGGUUUAAUUGACUCAGAGUUCCACAUGGUUGGAAAGGCCUCACCAUCAUGGUGGAAGGCGAAUGAGGAGCAAAGUCACAUCUUACAUGGAGGCAGGCAAGUGAGCUUGUGCAGAGGAACUCCCAUUUAGAAAACCAUCAGAUCUCAUGAGACUUAUUCACUACCAUGAGAACAGUAUUGGGAAAACUGUUCCCAUGGUUCAGUUUUCUCCACCUGGCCCCACCCUGGACAUGUGGGGGUGAUUACAAUUCAAGGUGAGAUUUGAGUGAGGACACAGCCAAACUCUAUCAGAUAGGAAGCUGUAAAAAAGUAAUCCCCAGAUCAUAACAACUCAUCACAAUGAAGGAUUAUGUUUUACUCACUUCACCAGUUGUGGUUGGUGGGAGGUCAGGCAUCACAGAGGCACUCUUCAUUCAGACAUAAGGAAGCAAGAGCAUCUCAUUGUCUACCCCUUAUAGUCACCAUGGCAGGGGUGAAGAGAGCUGGAGAGCCAGUCAUCUGCUCUUAAAUACUUGGCUCAGGUGGAACACAAGUCUUUUCCAUCAUUGUCCAUUGAGCAGAAUUAGUUAAAUGGCCCCAUUUGCAAGGGUAGGAAAUAUGCAUGGAAGUUUAUGGGCAUGGAUUCCUUCUCUACAAAAACAAGUGAGCAGCACAUGUUUCUGCCAGGCUGUUUGAAUGAUGAUCUCCCAUCUGAGAGGUUCUAUGGCUGAGCCACCAAGCUCAGAAGGGAUGUGGAGGGCUUAUCAUGCUGGCAAGUUACAAAGCUGUUGCUUUAGACUUGGGUUAGCCUGUGCUUGUAUUCAUGGAAUUGAUGCUUUUGACUGUUCUCUUGGUUCCCAAUUCUUGCUUUACCUGGGAAGCUGCUGUCUUCUCUUAACAUCACUACUGUGGGUCAGAUUGGUAGGAGGCCACACACCAUCAAGCAUCUGUUCCUAAUUUAUUUUGCUGAUGAUACUGACAGCAGCAGGAGCAGAGGCAGUCAGUAUAUUUGUAUGUGGCAUUUCUUUAUCAUGGUCUCCCAUAACAAAGGUAUAUUGCUGCCUAUGACAUGUUCAGUGUAGAAUGAAUACAACAGAGUUCAAAAAGAAGCCAUUUUCUUCUAUACCUGCACUUCAGUAGUCAGGCCUAUAUUUCUAUUCCAGAAAAAUGUAUACUAACAAUUGCCCAUAUUAUUUUAAAGGAGAGUUUACCAUAAGCUGGUUCCACUGGUUCAGCAUCUGCAUAGUCACAUCCUUGCUGUGGGGAGAAAACCGAUUCCAUGCCAGGGGACCUUGAAUGGUAUCUCUGCCUUCAGCUCUGGUACUCCAGAAGGCCCAGUAGGUCCCCAUUCUUAGGCUGAACCAGGAUUUGAGCUCCUGUUUACAUUGGUUGGGCAAACGUCCAUCUACAGGUAAAUGAAAGGGCACAGUCAGGUUCAAUGAUGAUAGGGAGUGACUCUGGAAUACAUGGUAUCCAUUACUUCAGCAUAUUCUGACCAGACCUGUGCUGGACUCAUUCACAGAUUGCAGGGACAGAGCAACAAUGGAUGACCAAGAAAAUACUAAAAGGGUUGGGCUGCUGAGAAUGUCAUCAGCAGCAUCCAUGCAAGAACAUUGCACAACAACAGAAGACAGUGCCAGCAGCUUUUGUUAGGGCAAGAGACAACAAAUUUAGCGUAGAUAACAGGACUCAGAACAUCAGGCACAGUUGCCCUCUGCAUAAAUGUCAGUCUCCUUGACAUGGGCCACUGGCAGCCUGAUUGGGACCUUGGCAGAUACUGGCAUCCUCAGCAGUGCUUGGCAGGUAUAGAGGGUUGUGCUUUUGGAGGGCACCAGAAGUAGAUUUCCUGCUUUUGUUCUGGGCAGAGAUAGGAAACUGGAUCCAUAGACAGCAGAGACGGGAGAAAUAAAAUGGCCUAUACCAGCUGGGUGUGGUUGCUCAUGUCUGUAAUCCCAGCACUUUGGGAAUGCCAAGGCAGGUGGAUCACCUGAGGUCUGGAGUUCAAGACCAGCCUGACCAACAUGGAGAAACCCCAUCUCUACUAAAAAUACAAAAUUAGCUGGGAGUGGGAGACAGAGGUUGCAGUGAGCCAAGAUUGUGCCACGGCACUCCAGCCUGGGUAACCAGCAAAACUCUGUCUCAAAAAAAAAAAAAAAAAGAAAAGGCCGGCUGGGCGUGGUGGCUCAAGCCUGUAAUCCCAGCACUUUGGGAGGUUGAGGCAGGUGGAUCACAAAGUCAACAGAUCGAGACCAUCCUGGUCAAAAUGGUGAAACCCCGUCUCUACUAAAGAUACAAAAAGUUAGCUGGGCAUGGUGGUGCAUGCCUGUAAUCCCAGCUACUCAGGAGGCUAAGGCAGAAGAAUAUCCUGAACUCAGGAGGCAGAGGUUGUGGUGAGCCAAAAUCGCUCCAUUGCACUCCAGUCUGGGUAACAAGAGCGAAACUCCAUCUCAAAAAAAAAAAAA